UAGAAAUGUUUUUUUUAUUGUAGCUUAAAUGGACACUUGAGGCUGAGCAGAUGUCAAAACCCUGUUAGAUAUUUUUUAAGCAAUUGAAUACUUUUGACAACUCGAAGUCGGAUUGUUUUCGUGUUUUUUUACACAUUACCGCCCAUAUUACGACAGUUGUAUUAUAUUUUUCAUAACCGAUUUUUAUGUAUUUUUUAAAAGUAUUUAGUCGUUAUGCUUAGUUGUGUUGUUUAGCCAAAUAAAUGGAGUUUUUUGCAGCUUAAAUUUAACUGCAGUCAUACCCGCAUAAGAUAUUGAUCGGGAGGCAAGCGCAAAUUGCGACGAUUAAGCAAAUGGGUGGACUUGAUGGUUUGCCGAAGAGAGUAAACAUGAAACUUUUGGUGUUGGUCAUAGCUCGACUAGCAUUUCUACGAGUUUAGGAUAUGCGUAAUAAUAGCUGAAGAUGGUAGAUAGAAGAGAAAGGUGGCACUCGCAUGGAAUAGCUUUUGGUACUGAUCCGAUCACUUUCUCUAAAGACUUUCCUAGCAGAUUUGAUGUUUUUAUGAAAGACAAUUAUCUGUUAGAAAGACAUUAAUCUCAAACUCAAGGCUUUAGAAGCCGCAGGUAGCAAGUCCGUUGGAAGAAGUCAUGUAAUAGAAGUAUAGGGGGACAUUUUGUUUUGACUGUGAAAAUUCAUAUAUUACAAGAUUCUAAUAGAAGUCAUGUAUGUUAAAGUUCUUUAAUUCAAACAAUAUUUCAUGUUG